GAUGAACGCUGGCGGCGUGCCUAAUACAUGCAAGUCGAGCGAACAGACGAGGAGCUUGCUCCUCUGACGUUAGCGGCGGACGGGUGAGUAACACGUGGAUAACCUACCUAUAAGACUGGGAUAACUUCGGGAAACCGGAGCUAAUACCGGAUAAUAUAUUGAACCGCAUGGUUCAAUAGUGAAAGACGGUUUUGCUGUCACUUAUAGAUGGAUCCGCGCCGCAUUAGCUAGUUGGUAAGGUAACGGCUUACCAAGGCGACGAUGCGUAGCCGACCUGAGAGGGUGAUCGGCCACACUGGAACUGAGACACGGUCCAGACUCCUACGGGAGGCAGCAGUAGGGAAUCUUCCGCAAUGGGCGAAAGCCUGACGGAGCAACGCCGCGUGAGUGAUGAAGGUCUUCGGUUCGUAAAACUCUGUUAUUAGGGAAGAACAAAUGUGUAAGUAACUAUGCACGUCUUGACGGUACCUAAUCAGAAAGCCACGGCUAACUACGU
rnacentral:rRNA from 1 species